rnacentral:rRNA from 1 species
AAUGAACGCUGGCGGCAUGCCUAACACAUGCAAGUCGAACGAAGGCUUCGGCCUUAGUGGCGCACGGGUGCGUAACGCGUGGGAAUCUGCCCCUUGGUUCGGAAUAACAGUUAGAAAUGACUGCUAAUACCGGCUGAUGACGUAAGUCCAAAGAUUUAUCGCCGAGGGAUGAGCCCGCGUAGGAUUAGCUAGUUGGUGUGGUAAGAGCGCACCAAGGCGACGAUCCUUAGCUGGUCUGAGAGGAUGAUCAGCCACACUGGGACUGAGACACGGCCCAGACUCCUACGGGAGGCAGCAGUGGGGAAUAUUGGACAAUGGGCGAAAGCCUGAGCCAGCAAUGCCGCGUGAGUGAUGAAGGCCUUAGGGUUGUAAAGCUCUUUUACCCGGGAUGAUAAUGACAGUACCGGGAGAAUAAGCACCGGCUAACUCCGUG